GGCUUGGCCGGAUGGUCCGCCUCACGGUGUGUACUGUCUGGCUGAGUCUUACCUCUUGGUGAGCCGGCGUGCCCUUUAUUGGUGUGCGUCGGGGAACCAGGACUUUUACCUUGAGAAAAUUAGAGUGUUCAAAGCAGGCCUAUGCCCGAAUACAUUAGCAUGGAAUAAUAGAAUAGGACG
rnacentral:rRNA from 1 species